GGGGAAUUUUGGACAAUGGGCGCAAGCCUGAUCCAGCAAUGCCGCGUGCAGGAUGAAGGCCUUCGGGUUGUAAACUGCUUUUGUACGGAACGAAAAGCCUCUCUCUAAUACAGGGGGGUGAUGACGGUACCGUAAGAAUAAGCACCGGCUAACUACGUGCCAGCAGCCGCGGUAAUACGGAGGAUGCGAGCGUUAUCCGGAUUUAUUGGGUUUAAAGGGUGCGCAGGCGGGCUUUUAAGUCAGCGGUGAAAUCUGGACGCUUAACGUCCAAACUGCCGUUGAAACUGGGAGUCUUGAGUAUGGAUGAAGUAGGCGGAAUUCGUUGUGUAGCGGUGACAUGCAUAGAUAUAACGAGGAACUCCGAUUGCGUAGGCAGCUUACUAAGCCAUAACUGACGCUCAUGCACGAAAGCGUGGGGAUCAAACA
rnacentral:rRNA from 1 species